UACGGAGGAUGCAAGCGUUAUCCGGAAUGAUUGGGCGUAAGGCGUCCGCAGGUGGCACUUCAAGUCUGUCGUCAAAGACCGGGGCUUAACCCUGGAAAGGCGAUGGAAACUGAAAGGCUAGAGAGAGGUAGGGGUAGAGGGAAUUCCCAGUGUAGCGGUGAAAUGCGUAGAGAUUGGGAAGAACAUCGGUGGCGAAAGCGCUCUACUGGACCUCAUCUGACACUCAGGGACGAAAGCUAGGGGAGCGAAUGGG
rnacentral:rRNA from 1 species